rnacentral:lncRNA from 1 species
UCGAAGCUCUCCACCUUUAGACAAUUCAAUGUCAUUAUAGGAAGCUAUCCAUCUUUGCCAAAAUCUAAAUCUAUGGAUGACAAUGGGUCUCAAAAUCAUAGGGUACCCGCAAAAAAUAUCCACUAUGGGUAGGGUAAAAAACCGCUAAAUGGGUAUGAGGUUGAGUAUAGAUAAUUACCCGCAAAAAAUAGAGGGUAUGGGUGCGGGUAUG